UACGUAGGGGGCAAGCGUUGUCCGGAAUUAUUGGGCGUAAAGAGCGUGUAGGCGGUCCGGUAAGUCCGCUGUGAAAGUCCAGGGCUCAACCCUGGAAUGCCGGUGGAUACUGCCGGGCUAGAGUCCGGAAGAGGCGAGUGGAAUUCCUGGUGUAGCGGUGAAAUGCGCAGAUAUCAGGAGGAACACCUGCGGCGAAGGCGGGUAGCUGGGCCGACACUGACGCUGAAGCGCGAAAGCUAGGGGAGCGAACGGG
rnacentral:rRNA from 1 species